UGACAGAUUUACCGCUGCUGUCCCACCAUUGGCUGCCAGCGCGACAGAGUUGAUUUAAUGCUCGGUUCUGAUUGGUCCGUGAGCGACAGGCAAAUUUAUGGCCGUGCUGUGAUUCGCCGCUGGGUGUCUUUGAUGUGAGUUACCGCUCUGUUGCUUAUGGGACGCAGAAACGGUGUCAGGUUUCAAUCGUAAAACCUCGACAUUCCUGACGUCAUGAGAGCAAGAGGAGGAGGAGGAGGAGGAGAGAAAGAGAGAGAGAGACAGAGAGUAAAGGGAACAGCCACAUACACUUCAGCCAAUCAGAAACACUUUCUGCGUGUGAAUCUUUUUGCACAUUCAGUUUUGCUGACAUACAGUUUCACAGUGCUUCUCAAUCCUGGUCCUGGAGGUCCCAGCAGUGCACAUUUUGGAUGCCACCCUUAUUUUAUACAGAUGAUUAGUAAAUUAGUAAAAGCCCUAAGAUCUAAAUGGGGGUUUCCAAAUGAAUUCAAUACCUACGUGGGCCAGAAUCUAUGAGAUUCAUUCACUUUAUGACCUCUGUACACGCACCGUUUUUGCUGGCUUAGUCAUUGAAGUCAGUAUUGUGUACCGCGUACAAGUCAACAUUUUCGCAACCUGUAGAAAAUCGCAAAUUAAAAAUAUC